rnacentral:rRNA from 1 species
UACGAAGGGGGCUAGCGUUGUUCGGAAUUACUGGGCGUAAAGCGCACGUAGGCGGAUAUUUAAGUCAGGGGUGAAAUCCCAGAGCUCAACUCUGGAACUGCCUUUGAUACUGGGUAUCUUGAGUAUGGAAGAGGUAAGUGGAAUUGCGAGUGUAGAGGUGAAAUUCGUAGAUAUUCGCAGGAACACCAGUGGCGAAGGCGGCUUACUGGUCCAUAACUGACGCUGAGG